UUGCGCAUAUAUUUAUCUGUCAAACGGCCCGAUUUGAUAUAUUUAUCUGUCAAAAAAUAUUUAUAUAUCUCGGACAUAUAAAUCUCGAAAAUUCAUGCGCAAUCUUAGCGCAAUCUUGGAUUAAUACGUUUGUUUACAUAUAGCGCCAUGGAGAACGAAUCGCCGAACGUGCCGAAUCGCCGGAACUAUAUAAAAUUGCUCUUUGAGAACUGACCUGGCUGUACCACGGGAUGUUAUGUUUCUUAUUAGUCCGCAUACACUAAUAAUCGUUUGGAAUUCUGGAAUGUAGGUUAUGCGGUUUUGGUCUUCUUCCAACAGGAAAUCUUUCUUAUAUUUCGGAAUACCAACUAUUCCUGCUGGCCCUGCUUUCCUGCACCAUUUUUGCUGCAACCUCUACCCCAACUGCUACAAUGGAAGCUAUUGCUGUUGCCGCUGCGAUUAAAAAAAACUUUCUUAUUUUUACAGGAACGUUUAUGUAUAUUUAAAUAUUUUAUAUUACAGCUCUCCCGAGUUAGAGGACUGAUAAUGGAAGAAAACUGCUGCAUCUUCCGGGCCAUCAAAAUAAUAACGGGGUCAUGGGGAUGGUGAAUGAAUAGAGUCGAGAUUAAUCGUUUUUUUAUUAUUGAUUUGCUUCCAGAAUGUUGAGAAAAGCCUUCGGCUAAUUGCCGAGGUGGAACGACGGCCUGCUUUAUGGCAAAAGCGGUCGGAGUUCUACAAAAACGGUAUUCGGCGAAGGGAUGCGUGGACCGAGAUUGGUGGACUCUUGGACCUCACCGUCGAAGAGGCGAGCUACCAGUGGAGGAAGCUGCUGACCAGCUACAGGACUUAUAAGUCCAAGCUGCGUAAAAGUCAGCAAAGCGGAGCAGCGGCUGAGGACGUCUUCCACCCAAGAUGGUUCGCCUUCGACGCGAUGAGGUUCCUCGAUGAUACCAUGAAGGACGGCACGCAUCUCGAUACGUUCGAUGACGACCUAGAACAAGACACCUCCACCCAAGCCCACCCAAUCCCUUCUUGUUCCUAUUCCUCAAUUCCGCCCCAACCAACAAUCCCAGCACCAACAAUCCCAGCACCAACAAUCCCAGCACCAAAUCCAGCACCAACAACAGCACGAACUACAGCACCAACUACAGCACCAACCCCAGCACGAACUCCAGUACCGAUCCCAGCACCAAUCCGAGCAACAACAACUCCAGCACCAACCCCAGCACAAACCCCAGCACCGACCCCAGCACCGACCCCAGCACCAAGCCCAGCACCCACUCCAGCGAUGGAAAAUUAUUUGUCCAUGUUUGGCCAGUGGGUGGGGGCAUGGUUAAUCCAUUUACCACCAGACCAACAAAACGAUGCCACUAAUCGUUUGCGGCAGACGAUGCUGGAGUGGGAUCUGGAACACAAUAAAAAAUAAAAUAAAAAAAAUUACAAAAA